GAUGAACGCUGGCGGCGUGCCUAAUACAUGCAAGUCGAGCGAACAGACGAGGAGCUGGCUCCUCUGACGUUAGCGGCGGACGGGUGAGUAACACGUGGAUAACCUACCUAUAAGACUGGGAUAACUUCGGGAAACCGGAGCUAAUACCGGAUAAUAUAUUGAACCGCAUGGUUCAAUAGUGAAAGACGGUUUUGCUGUCACUUAUAGAUGGAUCCGCGCCGCAUUAGCUAGUUGGUAAGGUAACGGCUUACCAAGGCAACGAUGCGUAGCCGACCUGAGAGGGUGAUCGGCCACACUGGAACUGAGACACGGUCCAGACUCCUACGGGAGGCAGCAGUAGGGAAUCUUCCGCAAUGGGCGAAAGCUUGACGGAGCAACGCCGCGUGAGUGAUGAAGGUCUUCGGAUCGUAAAACUCUGUUAUUAGAGAAGAACAAAUGUGUAAGUAACUAUGCACGUCUUGACGGUACCUAAUCAGAAAGCCACAGCUAACUACGUG
rnacentral:rRNA from 1 species